rnacentral:rRNA from 1 species
UGGGGAAUAUUGCACAAUGGGCGGAAGCCUGAUGCAGCGACGCCGCGUGAGGGAUGACGGCCUUCGGGUUGUAAACCUCUUUCAGUAGGGACGAAGCGUAAGUGAUGGCACCUGCAGAAGAAGCACCGGCCAACUACGUGCCAGCAGCCGCGGUAAUACGUAGGGUGCGAGCGUUGUCCGGAAUUACUGGGCGUAAAGAGCUCGUUGGCGGUUUGUCACGUCGUCUGCGAAAUCCUAGGGCUUAACCCUGGACGUGCAGGCGAUACGGGCUGACUUGAGUACUGCAGGGGGGACUGGAAUUUCUGGUGGUGCGGUGGAAUGCACAGAUAUCAGGAAGAACACCGAGGGCGGAGGCAGGUCUCUGGGUAGUAACUGACGCUGAGGAGCGAAAGCAUGGGUAGCGAACAGG